UCGAGGAUCUUCGGCAAUGGGCGCAAGCCUGACCGAGCGACGCCGCGUGUGCGAUGAAGGCCUCGGGUUGUAAAGCACUGUCGAGGGGGAGGAAAGCCGCAAGGCUUGACCUAUCCCUGGAGGAAGCACGGGCUAAGUUCGUGCCAGCAGCCGCGGUAAGACGAACCGUCCGAACGUUAUUCGGAAUUACUGGGCUUAAAGGGUGCGUAGGCGGCGGAGAAAGUAGGGUGUGAAAUCCCUCGGCUUAACCGAGGAACUGCGCUCUAAACUACUUUUGCUUGAGGGAGAUAGAGGUGAGCGGAACUUAGGGUGGAGCGGUGAAAUGCGUUGAUAUCCUAAGGAACACCGGUGGCGAAAGCGGCUCACUGGAUCUCUUCUGACGCUGAGGCACGAAAGCUAGGGUAGCGAACGGGAUUAGAUACCUG
rnacentral:rRNA from 1 species